rnacentral:lncRNA from 1 species
CUCCUCCUUGCACUCCGCCUCUUUCAUCAACUUGUUUUCUCUUAGAAUGGAUCUAAACUUGACUUACAUUCCGCCUCCUCGCUCUGGGAACAUCUAUGUGUAUCUCAUGAUGUCAUGCAUUCUUCACUUUCUCAGCUUGCUGAAUGGUAUCUCCAAUUAAUGCGAUGGAUUUCAAAAUUGUUUCGACGAAGAUGCCAAGUCUUGUGCAGUAUUGAUCGAACUCUAUGUAAGUAUCUUCUUUUUCCUUCUUUUUUGUAUUUUUUUCAAAGCAUCGUUGUUAAUACAUGAGAGAAUCGGGUUAAUAUUCGUUCAUUCUCCUUGUAUUUUUCACAUAAGUUCUUGUUAAUGUUGUUUUGCAAAAAAAGUUUAUAGUUUAAAUCUUUGUAUAAAAACCCUUGUAGUUUUAUUUAUUUGAAUUGUAAAAGCGUGAAAGUCUUAGAAUAUCUUAUGAGAGUUUUUUAUUUGGAUGAGAGUUUGGACAUAUAUUUUGUGAAAUUUGAAAAGAAUAAAGAGUAGCAUUUAAAAUUGAAUUGUGUUGACCUCUCAAUUGGUCAUUCAUCUAAUAGUUAUCUAUCUUAAGUCAUUUUUUGAUUGAAAAAUUGGAAAUCAACAAAAAGAAUGUGAUAUAAACAUUAAUUGAGUGAGACCAUCUAAAUAGAAGAUAAACAAAAUCCUAUUUCGAGUGGAUUUAAAAUGAAUUGGAAUUACGUAUUUUAUUUUUUUUAUUGUUAUUUUUAUAUUUCGAUCUUUGUGUAUGAACAAUCAAAAUUGUACCUAACUAACGAAACAAACUUAAUAUCAAGCACAAUCAUAUAUGUAGUGGUUGGUGAUUGUGAUUUAAGAGUGAGCAAUCAUCUAUUGUCCAAGUAACUACAAUAUUCAUCCACGUGAGAAAAAAGCUUGCAAUUCUGGUUCAAGAUUCAAAGGUGUUGUGGGCCAACAUAAUGGUCAUUAUGCUAAGGUAUGUAUAGACACUACUCUUCUUAUACAAUAUUUGUGGGAUUACAGUUAAUAUGUACGCUGUUGAUUUGUUAUUUUUGCAUGUUAUACAAGAGAUAUUUUCUGACAACGAUCCACAGAAAAUAUAAAUUCCUAAGAGUUUAAAUUAUAUACAACAAUGUAAAUGAUUUAUAUAGGUUACCCACAAAGAUAUCUGCACACUAUAUGUAAAACUUCUCAAAAUAUGAGAUUCUAAUAUUACUUAGGGAUCACAAGCCUACAUCAUUUUGUGUGUUUUUUAAUCCUCUUGAUAAAUUCAUGAUUUCAAUGUUAUUUGGGAUAAUUUUGAAUUUUCGAAGAACCAAUUUUUUUCAAAAGGAAAUAACUAUAAGUGAUGUUGAGUUUUAUAGGUUUGUGUAUAUCUAAAAAAAUAAUAUAAGCAAUAAAGUAUUUGAGUUAUUGCAAAAGAAAUCGAAAAUUUUAUUUUUACACUGGGUUGGCGUAAGUUUGUGAAAGAGAAAGGUUUAAGAGCAAAAGAUACGAUUAUUUCACAAACUUAGACCAACCCUUUGUAAAAAUAACUUUUUGAUUACUUUUGCAAUAACAAUAUCUAAACUUUCAUAAUUUCCUAUAUCAUAGAAGUUCAUCUCCUCAUUUUGGAUUUGAGGAAAAUAAUUUAAUGCAUUUUUUAGGUAUAUGUAAGCUUAUUGAAGUUCAACAUCACUUGGGGUUAGCUCUUUUUGAAAAAGUUGCUUGUAUGAGAAUUCAUAUUAUCCUUUAAAUAACAUUAAAAACGUAAAUUUACUAAGAGGAUAAAAAAAACACAAAAUGUUUUAGACUUGUAAUCCCUAAGUACUAUUGGAAUCACAUAUUUUAAGAAAGUUCACAUGCAGUAUAUAGACUAGAUUUGCCUUGGCUCAUGCUUUAGUAUAGUGUCACGGACCUAAAGAUUCUGACAAGACUCCUUGCGGCACUUGACGGUUUGCUCACGAUUCUUUCACAAUCUCGCAAACUCAAGUAAGCCUCUCACAAUUUGGAUCGCUAAGAGAAAUAAGAAGGCAGACAAAAGACGGAAUUUGGAAGAAAGGACUAGUAUCUUAUUAGUCAAUUGAUGGAUGUAUUACAAAUACAAUGACUCUACUAUUUAUACUACUCUAAUGACUAAGAGUAAAUAAAUGCUACAAUACAAGUCCCUAAGUUCAUGCACUCAAGACAUGACUACAUUCUAAGAAUGACUCUAUUCUAAGAAUGACUCUAACUCUUCCAAAAAGGGACUCCUACCCUUCCCUAGUCUGCCCCAACGUUCUAGAGGGCCUGCACAAGCCUCCCUAAGGCUGAAAACUGCCCCCCUCCAUCCGCUGAAUGCCUGAAACGUCUGCCCCUCCGUCUGCUGCCUGCUUGGACUGCCAGCCCCUUCGUCUGCUGACCGUUUUGGGCUGCCUGUCCCCUUGCACACGCUGCUAGCUGCCUAGAUGGGUGGCGAUCUGCCUGGAUAGAUGGCGGGACGUCAUAAUAGGCCCAACAUAGUUUAUUUCAGUGUCAGCUUUUUUUCAACGCAACAGUACAUACAACCCAAUUAAUUAGACAUUGGUGUAUAGUGAAUGAGUGAAUAGUGCUCAACUUAUGAAGGGAAUGUGAUAGUAUAUUGUAAGUAUGAAUACUAAGAGGUAAGGAUUGACUAUUUGUCAUAAGGUCCUAGUGGACGAGUGUUUCUGAAUUUGUACCCGUAGUUGGAAGUUAUUAUAGUAAGAGAGCAAUUAUAUUGGUAUUCGGAUUUACUCAUAAAUAUUAAGUUUGAAUUUGAGAUGAGUGUAUGAUCAAAAGAAUGAAAACACGAGGAUGAUGAUGUUAGUCUUGAGAUUUGAUCUAGAAGACUUGACAUAGAGUAGGUGAGGAAUUGAGGUGAUAAGUUGCAAUACAUAUGCGUGAUACAAAUGACAGACCCUAAUGUUUAGAUAAGGGCAAUGAAGUGUGACUAAUUCACAAGAGUAAAAAGAGCAUUAAAUGUGUGCUGAGAAGGUAUGCCUCAUAAGAUGUUAAGAGAUACAUGUUAGAAAGAGGUCUCAGUACCCAUUUAUGGAGAAUUUAGUAUCCAUGAGAUAAGUUUUCCCGAAUGUUAGAGUAAGAUGAUUGUACAUCAGUAUAGAGAUGAUGAAAUAGGUCCAUGACUUUCAAGUGUUAGCUUUAUAACUGAGAGGGAGAUGGUUGCCACACCCCAGCCUACACCCCGAACGUGACUGACACCCGAGAAAUAUUUUUGGUUCAAAGCUAAUCCUUGGCGUGACUUACUUACUCAACGAAAGACUAACUCAAGCAUACAAAACUUCAAAACUGAAUAAAAUUCGUGAAACUUACAAAUCUUUAACUCAAAUGAAUAACUUUGAAUAAAAAUAGAAUAUUCAACUACCCAAUAAUAGACAACUUAAGUCUUUAAUACAUUUGAUAAGAUAAAAGAAACAAAAGUUUUCAAACUCUGCUAUCCAUUUAUAAGACUUCUAAAUAACAAAUAUGGAAGUCAGGACAAGGCCCACGACAUCCUAACAAUUGAUAUAACUGAAAGGUAAAUGAUUUCCUUUUGAAGUAAGAAGGUUCACCAUAGCUAACUCAAACUCCAUGUGGUAUCAACGAAGCUACUGUUGGUCAUGAUCCCAGAAUGGCUCAGUAUAGUGUUUUGCAAUGCUCGUGCAUUCCAUGUACUGAGUCAUUUGGCUUGCAUCCUUUCAUGAUGCAGAUUCAAGUCUCUUGGAUCAUCAAUAGUAGUAGCUUCGUUCAUACCAAAAGUAUUUCGAGUUAGCUAUGGUGAGUCUCCUUGCUUCCAGAGGAUUCCAUUUACCUUUCAGUUAUAUCGGUUGUAAUUAGGAUGUCAUGAGUCUUGCCCCAACUUCCAUCUUUGUCAUUUAGAGGCUUCAUAGAUAGAUAGUAAAGUUUGAGAAGUUUGUUUCAUUUAUCUUAUUAAGUGUAUUAAAGAUUUGAGUUGUCUAUUGUUGGCUAGUUGAAUAUUCUAUUUUAAUUAAGAGUUACUCAUUUGAGUUAAAUAUUUGUAAGUUUCAUGAAUUUUAUUUAAUUUUAAAGUUUUGUAUGCUUGAGUUAGUCUUCCACUUGUAGUCAUCCAGGAUGAGGAUUCGCUUCGGGACUAUCAAUUGUUCUGGAGUGUAUGACACAUCCUAGGUGUAGGCUCGGAUCGUAACAUGUACGAAAUAUAAACUCAUAUACCUUCAAAUAAUAUUUGAUCAUUUUGUUCUAAAUAGGUUACGUACCACAAAUACAUGAUUACGUAAGUGAUGAUAAGUGCAUACGACUACUCCAUGGGUAUAAACAUUAUAGACAAAGACCAACAAAUGUCUAGUUUGUAAUAUUUUGCUAUCUCGUUCACGUUCUUGAGUCCUAUAUCAUCAAUAAACUCUCUUCAUAAAUAAUCGAAUUUGAAGAACACGGAUAUGUUUGUUAGAAAAAGAAGACGGCAUACAAGUAUCACUAAAAUUAUCCUUACAACACUCAUAUAACUCUAAGAGGUGCAAAUAUCAAUUAGAAACUAAUCCUUACAACACCUCUUACUAUAAUUAUUAAUUGAUAACAUGAAUGUUGGUCUAAAUAAGAUUUCAGAGAAACAUGAUUAUCGAAAAAUGGGUUGAUAAGAAUGUCAAGGUGAAUUGGACGGUAAUUUCGAGAGGAUGGCUACGAAAUUAGGGUUAACAACUUUCCAAAUUGGGUGGAUCGAGUAAAAUAUUAAAUAUAAAGAAAAUUUUAAUUUAUUAAAAAUAUAUCCAUGGGAGACAUGUAAGCGCCACACAAGAUAAUAAAAGUAGUGGCAUAAUAUUUAACUGAUCAAGGGUAAAUAUGCUCUCAAAGUUGGAUGAUAAGGGCAAAUAUAUCAAAAGAGUAUAACUAAGGGUAUAUAUAUAACCAUUUUCUAAGAGUAUAAGGGCAAUUGACAAAUAUUUCCUUUUCCAUAUAUUAAAUUAGUGAUGCUUCGUGUUUAAUCUAGGAAAUUCCUUUAAAUUCCUGAAGUGGGAGGUGAAAAGUUGAGUAAUUGAAUGUAAUUCUUUUUUCGGAAAAGGGUCAAAAAUACCGUUAAACUAUUUGAAAUAUCCCAUAUAUACCCUUAAACUAUAUUUUGGCUCAAAACUACCCUUCCCGUCAAACUAUUGGGUCAAAAGUGCCCUUCUAAUUAACGAAAAAUUGUUAAAUGUCAUGUGGAUACCACGCUGAAGUUUCUCUGCCAAAAAAUAUAUUUAUUUUUUUCUCAUUUUUGUCUUUUUUAAAAAUAAAAAAAUUAGGUCUUCUCUUUCAUAAUUUAAAGGUAAUAUUAUUAAGAACAAAUUUCAAAUAUAGCAAAUAUUAAAAUUAUAUUUGUAUAUUAUAUCUAUUGUUUACAUAAUUGCGCUUCAUAUCCAUAGCAAAUUCAUGUUUGCUAUGAAGACUUUUGAUUUGUAUAAUUCUCUAGAUACAUUCAACUUUAUACAAACUGUUUAAUUUUGUAUAAAUUGAAUAUAUUGCAUUAUAAUUUGUAUAAUAAGAUCUGUAUUCGUAUAAUUAUAAGCGUAUAAAAUGAAAAUAUAUAUAUUUAUAUUUGUAUUUACACUUUUUUCUCGUUUUAUACAAUCACAAACGCUUUUUAUAUAUUUGUAUAUCAAAUGGGUAAUUGUAUACUGAAAAUGGCUAAGAUUAAAAAAAAUAGAAUAUUUAAUGUGAAUUAUAAAUAACAUAAACUAUAGUUAUAACAUUUAAUUUCAAUUAAUAGUUUAAUAUCCCCUAUAAUUUUCUCUAUUAAAAAGGGAUCAUAACAUAAUUAUUCAAUUAAAUAGACAAUUAAUACGCUUUAAUGUCUAUCACAGAACAAUUUUAAAUUAAUUAAAAUAUAUUUUAACCUAUAUUUAUUGUAUUUAAUGAACAUUAUUUCAUAUUCCCAUAAAUACAUAUUCAGUGCUUUCGAUUAUAAAUACCAACUGAGAUAUUGGGAUGAGUAUCAAUUUUGUAUUUUUCAUCUCAUCUAUCUAAUCCCCAAUUGGUGUCUCCAUUUUGGUGAGAUUUUAUUUUUUUUAAAUUAUUUUGUCUGGUUGUAGAAUGAAAUUCAUUUUUCUUAUCAAUUAAUUUAAAUUUUUUAUACAUUUAUAAUCUCCUGUAUUUCGAUUAUUAUAUUAUUUUAUUAUAGUUAUUAAAUUUGUUCAGAAUGUUUUGUCAUGAUUUUUGUAAUUUCAUUACUUUAUUUCACGAUAUAUUUUUCCUAAAAUUAAGAAUAUAUAGAAAAUAAUUUCUCUAAUCUCCUUAUGAUUCAUGUAUGCAAAUCAUUUGAAUUUCUAAUUGAAGUGAAUAAUCAUUACAUAUGUCGAUAUUAUUUUUAAUCUUCUUCUAUAGAAAUUAUAUUUCCUCAAUAUUUUCAUUCAUUUAUCACUACAAUGUGAAGUCUUAUGGUUUUGAUUUUAUGCCUAAAGUAAGUUUUACAAUUAUAUUUUUUGGUUCUAUUAUCUCUGUGUAUUGGUAGAGUAUUUAGUUGUUUAAAUAGACUGCCUUAUUGAUUUUUAAUUAUUUUGUAUGAGAUAGUGAUUGAGUUAUAUAGUAAUAUUAUACUCAAUAUUACAGUCUGUUUGGCAUUAUUAUCGAACGAUCUAAAGCAUUUAUUUUGAGGGGAAAAAAGUACUUUUAUUGAAAAAUUAAAUGCUCGACAAAUCAGUAAAAGUUUUUAAAUAGAAAUAGAAGUAAUUUUUUUGCUAUUGGAAAGAAGCUAAAAAUUUUUGCUUAAAAAAGAAAAUCGACGCUGAAACAAAAAAUUAUUUUUCUCAAGACUAAAAUAUUAUUUUUUAUGUAUACACUUAUUAAUAUAUUUCUUAUUAAUUAAUUAACAUAUUAAUAGGUUUGGUUAAAAAUAUUUAAGAAUCUUAUUUUUCCGUUUUUAUAUGAGAAUGUGUUAGCAUUUUUGUUAAUGCUGAUAUGGUCCGUAUUAGAUGGUCCAUUAUCCACUUCAUGGACCCAUUAUUCCACUAAUGGGAAGCUAGUUAACUACCUAAUGAGAUAAUGGUUAACUGCCCAUUGAUAAUGGUUAAAUACCGAUUAUCCCACUACAUGAAUCCACUAUCCUACUAAGUGGUUGGUAACUUCACAUGACCUUUUAACCGUUUUUGAUGGAAGGACGGUUAUAAAUAUGUUAUUUGGUUCAAAGGUCCCUAAGCACAUUACAUUCUAAAAACUUUAUAUCAUCUAAGAGUGAGAUUUUGAGUGCUUAGAAGAUUCUUGAAGAAAAGAAGAAUUGUAGACUCCAACUAUAUCGCUAGCAAUGGUUGGAGGUAUGUCGAUCACUCUAUAUUUUCGUUGUGUCAUUGCUCUGUAAUCUCCAACAUUAUGUUAUAAUUUAUUUUACAUUAUAUAUUAUUAUUUUUUAUACUAUAUAUUAUAUUACAUAUUAUUUUGUAAAAUAGUAAAAAGGUAACAAUAAUAUUUUUACAAGAUUAAAAGAAGAAAAAUAAUUUUUUUAUCCUCCCAAAAACGUGUAAUAUUGAAUGAAAAUUAUACAUGUAAAUUUUAAUUUUUUAAAAAUAAAAUUUAAUUAUUUUUUUUAAUAGAUAUUUUGAAUAGUUUUUCUCUAUAAAUAAUUUUAAUAUUAGAAGUAAAUUAGUACUUUAUUGCAAAUUGUUAUUUUUAAAAAUUUUAUAAAUAGUGAGUCUAAUCUUAAUAUUUUUUGUAUAUGUCUUAUAAGAUUAUUUAUUUUGACGAAUAAAAUGUUUAGGUAGUAUAUGUUCAUUUAAAUUUAUGAAGUGUGAACUAUUUACUUAGGUCAUAAUCUUAGAAGAUAUAUCUCCAAUUUAGAGAUACAUUUUUCCCUCUUGUGAUCAAAAAGCACACGCGUCUUUGUUAGGUCAAUUUUUUUAUGUUUUGAGAAAAAAAUUUAAAUAAGAUUAUAAUAUAAUAUUUUUCUAAUAUAUAAAAAAUAUUAUGUCAACAAUGAUUUUGGCUAGAAAAUAUUUUAUUAUUUAAGUUAUGCAAAUGACAAUUGUAUAUAGGAAUUUUAAAUCGAUUAUGAUCUUUUGUAAAAUAAUUCAUUUUCCUUAUUUAAACUAUGUGAUGUGAUUCUUAUAUAUUUAACAAGUGUUUGAUUAUAGAUUUUGCAUUAGAUUUGGAAAAUAUAUCUUUUAAAAAUAAUUUAUUCAAAAAAUGUUUCACUUUAACUCACAAAUUCAUAUUUUUUUUUCAAGUCAUUCUACUAAUCACUACUCCAUAAAAAGUGUUCAAAUUAAAAAUAUUUAUCUAUGACUAACAAAAAAAGUUACCAUGUACAAGUUUGAAACUUUCAUCAAUUCUCCAACUAAUCUAUUGAAUUAAUUAAUUAAUUAAAAUCAACUACAAUCUCUAUGGUACAAUUAUAUAUAUAAAUAAUUUUGUUAUUUUGUCCUAUCAUAAUAAUAAGAAUUUUCUAGUUCUUAUAAAAAUCAUAUCACUUUUACCUUUCUAUAAAAAUAAAAUUGCGGAGCAUCUAGCUCCUUUAUUCCAUUUUAAAAAUUUUGUACAAAAAGGCCCAACAUAAGCCCAAAUAAAUCAAAUAAGUACAGCCUAACAGGGUCCAUCAAAAAUAGGAAAUAGACCACUCUAUAAAUUGAUUCUAAAUGGUAGGGUUUCCUGAUACUCAUCAUUUCACUCCGCCUCUUUUAUCAACAAGUUUUCUCCUGGAGUUGGUUUGAACUUGACUUAGUUUCCCCCUCCUCGCUCUAUGGAACAUUUAUGUGUACUCUUCUCUUUCUCAGCUCGUUGUAGUAGGUAUCAUUUCUUUUUUAUCUUUCUAAUUCUUUGUAUCUCCUCUAACUUUCUCUUUUUUUGCAGAGGUAUAUAUACUCUGGUAGAUGAAAUAGAUCUUUAAAUUGUCUCGACAAAGAUGUCAGGUUAUGUGAAUCUGUCAUUAAUGAUUGACAUAAUUAGGUUUGUUUUUGUUCAUUCUCUUUGUAUUUUAUCACAUGAAUUCUUAUUUCUAUAAUUUUGCAAAGUAUAUUCUGGUUUAAAUCUUUCAAUGAAUAUCCACAUAGUUUUUUUCUCUUUUGACUUGUAAAAACAGAGAAAGUCUUUUAUUUUGAUUGACGUUUGGACAUAAAUUUUGUGAAAUUUGAAAAGAAAAAAAAGUAGCAUUUAAGAGAGAAUUGUGUUGACCUCCCAAAUGGUCACUCAGCUAAUAUUUAUCAUCCCAGAAAGUCAUUUACUUGUUAAAAAAAUUGAAAAUCAACAAGAAGAAUGUCUUUCUAUGAUAAUAAACAUUAAUUGAGUGAUACCAUCUAUUAUAUUGUCCAUUAUUAACUUUAAUUUAGAACCACACGAUUAAAAGUUUUUUUUCUUUUCUUAAACUCUGUUCCAAGUCAAACUAGGUCAUCCUUUUGGAAACGGAGGGAUUACUUCUUUUUCUUAAAUUCAAAGUGAACGUGAGAUUUUAUGAUGUAUCAAGAAGAUUAUGAAAGUUCAUUUGAAACGAAUGGAGUAUUUCUUUUUCUUAAAUUCAAAGUGAACGUGAGAUUUUAUGAUAUAUCAAGAAGACUAUGAAAGUUAAUGUAUUGUUGCAAAAGAAAUCAAAAAAUUUAUUUUCGAAAAGGGUUGGCAUAAGUUUGUGAAAGCCGGAGAUUUAGGAGUAAAGUACAAUUAUUUUCGCAAAUAAUUGUAUCUUUUGCUCUUAAACCUUUAGCUUUAACAAAUUUGUGCCAACCCUUUGUGUAUAUAAUUUUUAUUUCUUUUACAAUAACAAUAUAUAAAUUUUCAUAGUCUCUUUAUGCAUCAUAAAAACCCAUGUCCUCUUUGAAGAAAAUACUUUGUUGGAUAUUCUUAGGUAUAUAAGCCUAUAAAAUCCAAUAUCACCUGGAGUUAGCUCCUUUUGAAAGCUAUUUGUAUGGGAAUUCAAGAUUAUCCUAUAAGUAACAUUAAAAUCAUGGAUUUUACCAAGAGGACUAAAAAAACACAAAAUGCUAUAGGCUUAUGAUCCCUAAGUACUAUUGGACUCACAUAUUUUAAGUAGGUUUACACGUAGAAUGUAGAUUGAACUCAUAGAAUAAAAUUUGAGUCUUAAAAUUCAAUACAAAUUUCAGAGAUUGGAUUUACGUCCGUAGAUCAAACCACGAAUGAUCCAUGAAGAUUUUUUUUCCAGCUUUUAAAACUAGUUAAGGGUUUGAACAGUGUUAAUCAAUCCUUUACGUUCAUUAAUGCUUCCAAGUCUUAAAGCAAGGAUCCAAGAGGAGAAAGCUAAGGUUUUGAGCGUUCUUCGACUUUUCAUCGAUUUCACUAAGAACUAUGUUCUUCAGUGUAUGUAAGGCUAUCAUAAUGGUGGACUAAGUUUGUCCUCACGCCCUACAUCUAUCUAAAUUCAGUAAAAGAGUAAUCUAGGAUUUUAUCAUUAAUUUUAAGUAUUUAUAAGGUGAGUAACAUCGUCGAAUUCUGAGUUUUUGAUUUCUUAGUAUUGAGUUCUCUAUAUUGUUAUUGAUAUCCUUGAGUUGAGGUGUUCAUGUUUAUAAUUCAGCAUGAAUAAAGCAAACAUUUUUGUCUUAAACUGAUUUUCGGAGCAAGUAAAGAUAAGUUUUGACAAAAGAGUUUUAAACAUAAUUUGAGUAAGAGUAUAAGGGAACUAAGUAUUCCCAAAUGUAUCACUCUUUUUACAUUGAGAAAAAUAAUAUUUUGAUUUCCAAAUGGGUUACUUUUUAUAUUAAGAAAAAUAAUAUUUUAAUUUCCAAAUGAGUUAACGAGUUUAGAGAUAUUUCAACUAAUCAUUACUCCAUAAAAAGUGUGUCAAACAAAUCAUAUUUAUCUAUGACUAACAAACAAAGUUACCAUGUACAAGUUUGAAAUUUCCAAUCUAUUGAAUUAAUUAAAUUAAUUAAAAUCAACUACAAUCUCUAUGGUACAAUUAUAUAUAUAAAUAUUUUGUUAUUUUGUCCUAUCAUAAUAAUAAAAAUUUUCUAGUUCUUAUAAAAAUCAUAUCACUUUUACUUUUCUUUAAAAAUAAAAUUGCAGAGCGUCUAGCUCCUUUAUUCCAUUUCAAAAAUUUUGUACAAAAAGGCCCAACAUAAGCCCAAAUAAAUCAAACAAGUACAACCUAACUAGGUCCAUCAAAAAUAGGAAAUAGACCACUCUAUAAAUGAUUCUAAAUGGUAGGGUUUCCAGAUACUUGUCAUUUCACUCCGCCUCUUUCAUCAACACGUUUUCUCCUUGAGUUGGUUUGAACUUGACUUACUUUCCGUCUCCUCGCUCUAUGAAAUAUCUCCAAACGCUAUAUACUCUUCUCUUUCUCAACUCGUUGUAGUAGGUAUCAUUUCCUUUUUAUCUUUGUAAUUCUUUGUAUCUCCUCUAACUUUCUCUUUUUUGCAGAGGUAUAUAUACUCUGUUGGAUGCAUUAAAUUUUUAAAUUGUCUCGACAAAAAUGUCGGGUUAUGAGAAUCUGUCAUUAAUGAUUGACAUAAUUAGGUUUGUUUUUGUUCAUUCUCCUUGUAUUUUUUCACAUGAAUUCUUGUUUCAAUUAUUUUGUAAAAUAUAUUUUGGUUUAAAUCUUUCAAUGAAUAUGCUGAUAGUUUUUUUCUUUUUGACUUGUAAAAAUAGAGAAAGACUUUUGUUUGGAUGGACGUUUGGACAUAAAUUUUGUGAAAUUAGAAAAGAAAAAAAAAGUAGCAUUUAAGAGAGUAUUGUGUUGACCUCCCAGAUCGUCACUCAGCUAAUAUUUAUCAUCUCUAAAAGUAAUUUACUUGUUAAAAAAAUUGAAAAUCGACAAGACAGAAUGUCUUUCGAAGAUAAUAAACAUUAAUUGAGUGAGACCAUCUAUUAUAUAGUCCAUUAUUAAUAUUAUUAUUUUAUAUUUUAAUCUUUGUGUCUGAACAAUAAAAUUAAGCAUUUGAAAUUGUACCUAACUACCUACCAAUCUCUAAUAUUUUCAUAGAUUUUCUCAAAAUAUGUUUUUUUUUUUAGAACAAAAAAAGUUCUUAUGAUUCAACAUGAAAGACGAAAUGACCUUAAAAUCAAGUAUAAUCACAUACAUAACAAUUGGUGAUUGCGUUUUAAGAGCGAGCAAUCAUCUAUUGCCCGAAAAAUACAAGAUUCAUGCAUCUGAGAAAAAAACUUGCAAUUCUAGAUGAAGACUUAAAGGUGGUUUAGGCCAACUUAAUUGACAUUGUCCUAAGGUAUGUGUAGAUGCUACUCUCCUUAUACGUCACUUGUGGAAUUACACUAAAUUUGUAUGUUGUUUUAUGUCAUACCAGAGAUAAAUACAUACAGUUCAGGUAUUGUUAUUGCAAAAGGGUUGGCAUAAGUUCGUGAAAGACGGAGGUUUAAGACCAAACGAUACAAUUAUUUUCAAAUAAUUGUAUCUUUUGCUCUUAAACCCUUAGCUUUUACAAAUCUAUGUCAAUUCUUUGUGUAAAUAAUUUUUUCAUUUCUUUUUCAAAAAUAACAAUAUCUAAACUUUGAUAGUCUCUUAUGCAUCAUAAAAUCCCAUGUCAUCACUUUGGAUUUGAAGAAAAUAUGUUGUUGCAUAUUUCUUAGGUAUAUAAGCCUCUAAAAUCCAAUAUAGUUCACUAGGAGUUAGCUCCUUUUGAAAAGUUAUUUGUAUGAGAAUUCAAACAUUAUCUUAUAAGUAACAUUAAAAUCAUGAUUUCAGUACUACUUAGGAUAAUGAUAGAUGAUGUUGGACUUUCUAGUCUUGUAUAUACUUAAUAAAUAUGUAAUAACUUACUCUCUCCGUUUAAAAAAGAAUGACCCUAUUUUCUUUUUAGUCUGUUUAAAAAAGAAUGACCCCUUUCCUUUUUUGGCAACACUUGAACUUUCAACGUGGCAUGUUUAAGACCACAAGAUUAAAUGACAUUUUGGUACAUUUGACAUAACUUUAAUUUAGAACAACACGAUUAAAAAGUCUUCUUUCUUUUCUUAAACUCUAUUCCAAUUCAAACUAGAUCAUCCUUUUCAAAACAGAUGCAGUAUUUCUUUUUCUUAAAUUCAAAGUGAACAUGAGAUUUUAUGAUAUAUCAAGAAGAUUAUGAAAGUUCAUGUAUUGUUGCAAAAGAAAUCAAAAAAAUUAUUUUCCAAAAGGGUUGGCAUGAGUUUGUGAAAGCCGGAGGUUUAGGAGCAAAGUACAAUUAUUUUCGCAAAUAAUUAUAUCUUUUGCUCUUAAACCUUUAGCUUUAACAAAUUUGUGCCAACCCUUUGUGUAUAUAAUUUUAUUUCUUUUACAAUAACAAUAUAUAAAUUUUCAUAGUCUCUUUAUGCAUCAGAAAAGCACAUGUCCUCUUUGAAAAAAAUACUUUGUUGCAUAUUCUUAAGUAUAUAAGCCUACAAAAUCCAACAUCACUUGGAGUUAGCUCCUUUUAAAAGCUAUUUGUAUGGGAAUUCGAGAUUAUCCUAUAAGUAACAUUAAGAUCAUGGAUUUUACCAAGAGGACUUAAAAAACACAAAAUGUUAUAGGCCUGUGAUCCCUAAGUACUAUUGGACUCAAAUAAUUUAAGUAGGUUUACACGUUGUAUUUAGAUUGAACUCAUAGAACAAAAUUUGAGUCUUAAAAUUCAAUACAAAAUGCACAGAUGGGAUUUACGUCCGUAGAUCAAACCACAAAUGAUCCGUGAAGGGUUUUUUUCCAGUUUUUAAGACUAGUUAAGGGUUUGAAUAGUGUUAAUACGUUCUUUAAUGCUUCCAAGUCUUAAAGCAAGGAUCCAAGAGGAGAAAGCUAAGAUUUUGAGCGUUCUUUGAAUUUUCACCGAUUUCACCAAGAACUUUGUUCUUCAGUGUAUGUAAGGCUAUCAUAAUGGUGGACUAUGUUCGUCCUCACACCCUAUAUCUAUCUAAAUUCAGUAAAAGAGUAAUCUAGGAUUUUAUCAUGAAUUUUAAGUAUUUUUGAGGUGAGUA